UAACAAGAGAUUAACUGCCAUCCAAUAAGGAAUCACAAUUCUCUAUAACCAUAACUUUCCACAAAAACCAAUGUUUACACAAAAAAGGCCUUUCCUAUAAGUUUUAGUAAAGCAGAAAACUCGCUUUUUUUCUAUCUUUUCAAGUGUUUAAGUGAAGAACAUUUAAUAAUUACAACAUUUUUUAAAAUGGCAAACUCGUAGAAAGACCUUUUUAUACACAGAAGUCAUUCUCUAAUUCAGAGUUUUCCUGACCACAAUGUCAGUUAGGCUAUUCAUCUGUAUUUGGUUAUACCUUCAGUUUAUUUCACUAGAACCUUAUCUUUUAUUAUUUAUAGUUCUGUAUCAUCUGGUCGCUGCCUGAGUGUCUGAAAGGAUUAGUGUAAAUUGAGUUUUAUGAAUCAAUUUUGGCUGUAAGUGCUUUAGAUUAUCUCAUAAUUCACUUCAUGAAUGUAUUUCCUAAUUCACCUAUUUGCAAGCUGGAAAAUUGUUAAACUGGUUUUCUUAAAGAGAUGUGACAUGGCACAAAGGUGAAAUUGAUAGGAAAGACAUAUCAGUAAUUGAGACUCUUUGAAAAAUGUUUCUUAUAGCAAAACAGACACACACAUGGAAAAUCACAUUGUCAGUUUUAGCCAUUUAGGGGGAAAAGCAACUCACCAUUUUAAUCAGAAAUGUCAAUGGUAUAUGCUUUUACGAUAACUUUUGAAAUUUCAAGUUCAACUGUUAUUUGUUGAUGUGAAUACUGAUGUAAUACUCAUCUCUGUUUCUGUAAAAGGAAAAUAUGAUCCAUUUUGCAGAUGUCUACCAUAGAAAAUAAGCUGCUUUAAUAGAAGGGGUGAUCCACUGAAAGUUGAGUUAGUCAAGAUUAACAAGUAAGCAUUUGCCUCCAUGAGUGAGUUACUGCAUGUCUCACUUUGUUGAUGUUCUUCAUUAUACUUAUUAUCAAUUUCAUAGGAAUAUUUAAUAACAUGAAUAAAAUAUACUGUUCAGAAUAAAAGGAAAAGUAUCUU
rnacentral:lncRNA from 1 species